rnacentral:rRNA from 1 species
UACAGAGGGGGCAAGCGUUGUUCGGAAUUACUGGGCGUAAAGGGCGCGUAGGCGGCCUGUUAAGUCGAACGUGAAAUCCCCGGGCUCAACCCGGGAACUGCGUCCGAUACUGGCAGGCUUGAAUUCGGGAGAGGGAUGCGGAAUUCCAGGUGUAGCGGUGAAAUGCUUAGAUAUGACAUAGAACACCAAUUGCGAAGGCAGCUUACUACAUAGUUAUUGACACUGAGGCACGAAAGCGUGGGGAUCAAACAGG